AGAUUGAACGCUAGCGGCAUGCCUAACACAUGCAAGUCGAACGGUAACAGGCCCUUCGGGGUGCUGACGAGUGGCGGACGGGUGAGUAAUGCGUAGGAAUCUACCCACGAGUGGGGGAUAGCCCGGAGAAAUCCGGAUUAAUACCGCAUAUGCCUACGGGUAAAGCGGGGACCGAAAGGCCUCGCGCAGCAGGAUGAGCCGAUGUCCGAUUAGCUGGUUGGUGGGGUAACGGCCCACCAAGGCGACGAUCGGUAGCUGGUCUGAGAGGAUGAUCAGCCACACUGGGACUGAGACACGGCCCAGAACUCCUACGGGAGGCAGC
rnacentral:rRNA from 1 species